AAAUGCGAUAAGUAAUGUGAAUUGCAGAAUUCAGUGAAUCAUCGAAUCUUUGGACGCACCUUGCGCUCCUUGGUAUUCCUUGGAGCAUGCCUGUUUGAGUAUCAUGAAAUCUUCAAAGUAAAUCUUUUGUUAACUCAAUUGGUUUCUACUUUGGUAUUGGAGGUCUUUGCAGCUUCACACCUGCUCCUCUUUGUUCAUUAGCUGGAUCUCAGUGUUAUGCUUGGUUCCACUCGGCGUGAUAAGUUAUCUAUCGCUGAGGACACUGUAAAAGGUGGCCAAGGUAAAUGCAGAUGAACCGCUUCUAAUAGUCCAUUGACUUGGACAAUACUUUUAUGAUCUGAUCUCAAAUCAGGUAGGACUACCCGCUGAACUUAAGC
rnacentral:misc_RNA from 1 species